UACGUAGGGUGCAAGCGUUAAUCGGAAUUACUGGGCGUAAAGCGUGCGCAGGCGGUGAUGUAAGACAGAUGUGAAAUCCCCGGGCUCAACCUGGGAACUGCAUUUGUGACUGCAUCGCUGGAGUGCGGCAGAGGGGGAUGGAAUUCCGCGUGUAGCAGUGAAAUGCGUAGAGAUGUGGAGGAACACCGAUGGCGAAGGCAGCCUUCUGGGCCAAUACUGACGCUCAUGCACGAAAGCGUGGGGAGCAAACAGG
rnacentral:rRNA from 1 species